rnacentral:ncRNA from 1 species
GGGUCAACUCGGAGGAAGGUGGGGACGACGUCAAGUCAUCAUGCCCCUUAUGUCUUGGGCUGCACACGUGCUACGAUGGCCGGUACAAUGAGCUGCGAUACCGCGAGGUGGAGCGAAUCUCAAAAAGCCGGUCUCAGUUCGGAUUGGGGUCUGCAACUCGACCCCAUGAAGUCGGAGUCGCUAGUAAUCGCAGAUCAGCAUUGCUGCGUGAAUCGUUCCCGGGCUUGACACACCGCCGUCACGUCAC